CUGCUUUCCAGGAACUUUCCAGGAACCGCAUCAUGUGACAGCGCCAGCUCUGGCGCCUCCGCGCUGAAGGGAAGCCGGGCCGGAGCCGCCGCCGUCAGGCGUGGAGCAGCCCCAGCAGCCACCCCUCCCGGGUGGGGUACGACACCGGCCCCUCUGGCCCGGGGGCGGCCUCCCAGGGCUAGUGAAUCCUCCCUACACCGGCGCAUCGCUGCCCUGCGGAGCCCCGACCGUCCUCGGGCCCGCGCGGUCUGGGGGCGCGGCCGGAGGUCGAGGAGGAUAGGCUGAGGUCAGCAGGCGAGGCAGCGCGUCAGGCGGCUGCCGUGAUAGCAGCGUGGCUGGCGGACGGAGCCCGGGGCCAGGUGUCGCUGCACAAUGGCUAGAUGCACUCUUGCACUCAGCCUUUUUGACAAACUGGAAGAAGGAAGGAAGACAGUUUUUUCUGAAGAUCAAUCAUUUUUAACAGGUGUCUGAGUUACAAUGGAAAACUGCUACCUGAUGAUCACUGAUAAAGUUCCUCUCAGAAGACACCUGAAGAACAGAAGCAGCACUGGACUGAGGGAGCGAGCCUGACUAAAAGAAGUUCAGCCAUCAGAAUUUCUGAGACAUGGUGACAGAGACCUUGCUUUGUAUUCACUCUAGUUUAAGUUAAGCAUUGGUUGCGUUUUACUUUUACUUUUCUUGUAAUCAAUUCUGACUUAUGCCUCUUUAUUAAUGACAAAAGGAUAGAUUUUAAGUGAAUAAAAGUAAAUUUGUUUUAUUUUAUCUAAA